GGUCCCAUCGUCUAGUGGCCCAGGACAUCACCCUCUCACGGUGAAAACACGGGUUCGAUUCCCGUUGGGACUGCCA
rnacentral:tRNA from 1 species